rnacentral:rRNA from 1 species
UACGGAGGGGGCUAGCGUUGUUCGGAAUUACUGGGCGUAAAGCGCACGUAGGCGGCUUUGUAAGUUAGAGGUGAAAGCCCGGGGCUCAACUCCGGAAUUGCCUUUAAGACUGCAUCGCUAGAAUUGUGGAGAGGUGAGUGGAAUUCCGAGUGUAGAGGUGAAAUUCGUAGAUAUUCGGAAGAACACCAGUGGCGAAGGCGGCUACCUGGUCCGGAUCUGACGCUGAGGCGCGAAAGCGUGGGGAGCAAACAGG